rnacentral:rRNA from 1 species
GUCCGGGAAUUACGAGCAAAGCUUAAAACCCAAAGGACUUGACGGUGCCCCACAUCCCCCUAGAGGAGCCUGUCCUAUAAUCGAUAAUCCCCGUUCAACCUCACCAUAUCUGGCUUUUUUCAGCCUGUAUACUUCCGUCGUCAGCCUACCACGUGAGCGAUGCUUAGUUAGCCUAAUGUCCACACAUUUAUGUGCUCUUAUCGUCAAUACGUCAGGUCAAAGUGCAGCAGAUGCUAUGGAAAGAGAUGGGCUACACUUUUUAAUGUAAAAGAAACGAAAAACAAAAUGAAACUUUGUUAUGAAGGUGGAUUUAGAAGUAAAAGAAAAACAUUAAGUCUCUUUUAACCCGGCACUGGGGUGUGU